AUUUCCUGUGUGAAAUGUGGGCUUCCCCUCAUCAUUUCUCUGUCACUCCAAGGUUUCUUUAUGGUAAGAAUGAAGAACAUUAUUUAGGUGACACUGCAGAGAUGAAGUGUUCUCCAGGCUUCGUGACUGUGGUACUUUUAAUGUUUGGACAAACCCAUGGAGACUCAGUGACCCAGACGGAAGGCCAAGUGACCCUCUCAGAAGAGGCUUCCUUGACUUUGAACUGUACUUACUCAGCAUCAGGUUCUCUCACUCUUUUCUGGUAUGUCCAGUAUCCGGGAGAAGGUCCACAGCUCCUCCUGAAAGCCUUGAGGGACAAGGAGAAGGGAAUCAGCAAAGGAUUUGAAGCCACCUAUGACAAAGAUUCCAAAUCCUUCCACUUGGAGAAAGGCUCAGUGCAAGCGUCAGAUUCAGCUGUGUACUACUGUGCCCUGAAUGACACAGUGACGGGGACUGCAGGGGGAGCUGAGCACAAACUCUGAGCAGAACAGGGGCCUGGAUGCUGAGCGUCUCUGCCUGAGCUGCUCUGGUUCCAGCUCAGUCUAUGGUUUUCUGUCCCUCAGUGUCUCCUUGAUAACAAAAAUCAUACAAAGGACUAGAGCACAGAAACCAGAAGUAUCAUCCCCAACCCUGGCUGUUCCUUACUGACACUGAGGACAGUUUGAUGCCAAGAGUCCCUCAGCCAGAGCAUAAGUGAUUUCAAGGUAAAACCACGUAACAAUGAAGGGGUCUCUUGCUCAUCCUUGCAGUGAAUGUCCAGCCCCACAAGUUGUUCAGGGCACCCUGGUGGGUGUUGCUGUGUCUGUGACUCUUUCAGAGACACACAGUGUGUCUGAGAAGGUGGCCUCUGCCCAGUGUCUUCCUGACAGAGUGUGGCAGGAGAGGUGAUGGGAGAGCUUCAGGCCCAAACCAGGUUUCAGUAGAGAAAGAAGGGAAGGGAAGAAAGGAGGAGGAACACAUGUACUCGAGCACAGAAAAGAGAGUCCAGCGAACUCUGCCCUGCUUUCUUUUCUAGUAAAUCAGGUGACAAACACAGGUUGAUAUUCAAAAAGAAGUGGUGGGGGCAGAAACAGCUUUGAGGAAGUAGGUCAUGUCCUGGCCAGUUAAAUAGGUCAGUUGGCUUUCUGACAGUAAAACUCAAGUGAGAUGGGGCAAACUGCACACUAUCUCUGUAUCAGGACAAACUGUCAGGAACAGUACCUCUAAUGAGUGGAUAAAUUACAUUUGCAAUAUGCAUUAAGAAAAGUAAUAGAAAAAGGAAAACUGCCAACAGAAUAAUCAGAACAUGAAUUUUCUCCAUUCUUCCUCAACUCUUUGUCCCUGACUUUCCUCCAACUGGAGUAAUUUUCACCUGUUAACCUCAUGGCUUAUUCCUUCAGUUCUUCCUCGUCUCUGUUCUAGAAAAACAUGUGCUCAUGUGAGGAAUGCUUAAUAAGGUUUAUUGUAGUGUAGUAUUUCCUGGAUUAAAUAAAUCAUCUUGACUUUUAAUCAAUAGAAAGGAUGUAUUAAUGGGAGUAUAUCCACAAUAUGGAAUAUAAUGGAACAAUGAUGCAUAUAGGUUAAUAGAGUAAGACGUUUAAGAUUUACUAUUGUGUUG